rnacentral:rRNA from 1 species
AGAGUUUGAUCAUGGCUCAGGACGAACGCUGGCGGCGUGCUUAACACAUGCAAGUCGAACGAUGAACCACUUCGGUGGGGAUUAGUGGCGAACGGGUGAGUAACACGUGGGCAAUCUGCCCUUCACUCUGGGACAAGCCCUGGAAACGGGGUCUAAUACCGGAUACCACUACCGCAGGCAUCUGUGGUGGUUGAAAGCUCCGGCGGUGAAGGAUGAGCCCGCGGCCUAUCAGCUUGUUGGUGAGGUAAUGGCUCACCAAGGCGACGACGGGUAGCCGGCCUGAGAGGGCGACCGGCCACACUGGGACUGAGACACGGCCCAGACUCCUACGGGAGGCAGCAGUGGGGAAUAUUGCACAAUGGGCGAAAGCCUGAUGCAGCGACGCCGCGUGAGGGAUGACGGCCUUCGGGUUGUAAACCUCUUUCAGCAGGGAAGAAGCGAAAGUGACGGUACCUGCAGAAGAAGCGCCGGCUAACUACGUGCCAGCAGCCGCGGUU